rnacentral:rRNA from 1 species
UACGUAGGGUGCUAGCGUUGUCCGGAUUUAUUGGGCGUAAAGAGCUCGUAGGCGGCUUGUCACGUCGGGUGUGAAAGCCCGGGGCUUAACCCCGGGUCUGCAUUCGAUACGGGCUAGCUAGAGUGUGGUAGGGGAGAUCGGAAUUCCUGGUGUAGCGGUGAAAUGCGCAGAUAUCAGGAGGAACACCGGUGGCGAAGGCGGAUCUCUGGGCCAUUACUGACGCUGAGGAGCGGAAGCGUGGGGAGCGAACAGG